rnacentral:lncRNA from 1 species
UGUUGAUCUUGUAUUGCUCUUUCUAAUGUUGUUGUUUCUUGUGGUUCAUGUUUUAUUCUGCUUUGUUUUAUUCAUUUAUUUUUUAAUUAUUUUCAUUAUUUCAUUAUGUUAUAUCAUCAUGUUUUAUCUUAUUAUGUGUGUGUGUGUGUGUGUGUGUGUGUGUGUGUGCGUGCGUGCGUGUGUGCAUCCUCUGGAAUUGUUGUGUUUUGCGAGGCUGAAUGUGAUCAUGCGGUGCGACCGGUUCGACCACUGCUGUUUUUACAUACUCUCUGUGGAAUGACAGUCAUGUUGAGGAGUGUGUGUGUGUGUGUGUGUGUGUAGAUGCCCACAGCUCUCUAUAACAGCAGAUUUCACAAAUAUAUAAAUAAAUCUAGAUCAGUGUUAGAGAUGUUGUGUAAUGACACGCUGCACUCUGUACUGUACAGCAGCGGUGAUGUUUUAAACAGACAUGACAUGGAAAUAUUAUAUUAUAUUAUUAUAGGGCGAAGCAGUGGCGCAGUUGGUAGUGCUGUCGCCUCAUAGCAAGAAGGUCGCUGGUUUGAGUCUCGGCUGGGUCAGCUGGCGUUUCUGUGUGGAGUUUGCAUGUUCUCCCUCUGUUCGCGUGGGUUUCCUCCAGGUGGAAUGGUGAUUCUGUUUAUGGUGCUUGUAUGUUGAUCUGUGUGUGGAGCACGUCGCUCAGCACUCAUGGGAUGCUGUUGAAAUAAAACUGACCUGUGUGUGUGUGUGUGUGUGUGUGUGUGUGUGUGUGUGUGUGUGUGUGUGUGUGUGUGUGUGUGUGUGUGUGUGUGUGUUCCAGUGUAUUCCACAUGCUGGUGGUCCCAGAAUCAGACGUGUCCUCAUGAAGACUGCUCCUCUUCUCCUGCUCCUCUAUGCGGGAGCGUUCGCCAUCAGUUCAGCGUUGCAGAUCAGCGAUGGGUGAGUUACUUUCUGAAAUACAUCUAUUACUGACUGAGUUUCUAUACUUGCUGUCUGAGAAUAUUUUUUACAUUUCAUUGUAUUUUCAUUUCAUUACUCUUCAACCGCUUAAAAUAGACAUGAUGCUCUUUAGAUUCUUUAAAUGCGAGUCAAACAGGGCCUUUGAGCUCUGUUUAAAGAUGAACUCUGUUAUCAUCUCAUGUAGCUCAGUCAUAAUAAUAAUAUUAAUAAUAAUGAUAAUAAUAAUAAUAAUGAUAAUAAUAAUGAUAAUAAUAAUAUUAAUAAUAAUGAUAAUGAUAAUAAUAAUAAUAAUAAUAAUAUUAAUAAUAAUGAUAAUGAUAAUAAUAAUAAUAAUAAUAAUAAUGAU